rnacentral:lncRNA from 1 species
CAGCAAGCAAAUACCAUUGUCACGGUUAUGUAAAGUAUAUACUGUGAUACAUGACUGUGGAUUGUACACAAUGAAGUUAUCUUCCGUGGUUACAUUGUCGAAAAAGACACUUACACACUUACAUGUUUGUACGUAUACUGCUGAGUGCAAUAUGUAAGAACACGGUUUUAACAUUUAGUUAUUUUUUUAAAUAAUGAAUCAGCC